AGGGGCCAUAGCUCAGCUGGGAGAGCGCUUGCCUUGCACGCAAGAGGUCGGGAGUUCGAUCCUCCCUGGCUCCACCA
rnacentral:tRNA from 2 species